rnacentral:rRNA from 1 species
UACGGGGGGGGCAAGCGUUGUUCGGAAUUACUGGGCGUAAAGGGCUUGUAGGUGGCCAACUAAGUCAGACGUGAAAUCCCUCGGCUUAACCGGGGAACUGCGUCUGAUACUGGAUGGCUUGAGUUUGGGAGAGGGAUGCGGAAUUCCAGGUGUAGCGGUGAAAUGCGUAGAUAUCUGGAGGAACACCGGUGGCGAAGGCGGCAUCCUGGACCAAGACUGACACUGAAAAGCGAAAGCCAGGGAGCAAACGGG